UCGAGAAUAUUUGUCAAUGCGCGAAAGCGUGAACAAGCAAUGCCGCGUGCAGGAUGAAGGCCUUCGGGUCGUAAACUGCUUUUAUUAGGGAAGAAUUACGAUGACGGUACCUAAUGAAUAAGAGGUUACUAACUCUGUGCCAGCAGUAGCGGUAAUACAGAGACCUCAAGCGUUAUCCGGAUUUAUUGGGUGUAAAGGGUGCGUAGGCGGAAAUAUUAGUCAGAUGUCAAAUCCUUCGACUCAAUCGAAGAACUGCAUUUGAAACGGUAUUUCUAGAGAGUGUGAGAGAUUAGCGGAAUUUAUGGUGUAGUAGUGAAAUGCGUUGAUAUCAUAAAGAACACCGAAGGCGAAGGCAGCUAAUUGGCACAUUUCUGACGCUGAGGCACGAAAGCGUGGGUAG
rnacentral:rRNA from 1 species